GUGCCAUCUUAGUAACACAUAUGCUGAAACUGGAAUGAUACAAAAGGGAUGAACAUAGCCCAUAAAAAGGAUGACAUGCAAAUUUGUGAAGCAUUCCAUAGUUUU
rfam:Erinaceus europaeus unplaced genomic scaffold scaffold00316, whole genome shotgun sequence